rnacentral:rRNA from 1 species
AACGAACGCUGGCGGCAGGCUUAACACAUGCAAGUCGAACGCCCCGCAAGGGGAGUGGCAGACGGGUGAUUAACGCGUGGGAAGCGACCUAGUUCUACGGAACAACACAGGGAAACUUGUGCUAAUACCGUAUACGCCCUAAGGGGGAAAGAUUUAUCGGAAUUAGAUGAGCCAGCGUAAGAUUAGCUAGUUGGUGGGGUAAUGGCCUACCAAGGCGACGAUCUUUAGCUGGUCUGAGAGGAUGAUCAGCCACACUGGGACUGAGACACGGCCCAGACUCCUACGGGAGGCAGCAGUGGGGAAUAUUGGACAAUGGGCGAAAGCCUGAUCCAGCCAUGCCGCGUGAGUGAUGAAGGCCUUAGGGUUGUAAAGCUCUUUCAGUAGGGAAGAUAAUGACGGUACCUACAGAAGAAGCCCCGGCUAACUUCGUGCCAGCAGCCGCAGUAA